GAUUUAUCACUUUUGCUACCUGGGGCACCUUUGAAGGAUGCAGAGUCCCAGAAAGAUGUUGGGAAGGGUGAUAAAUCAGGGGAUAAAGGAACUGCUGAGAAGUUUGCAAUAUAUCAGAAGCAUCGUUCUUCGUUGGCAGACAUUGUUCAGUUCAGGAGGCCAGCUGCUCCAACUUCCAGUGUGAAUGCUGAUAUUGUGGGAACAUCCACUCUGCAGUCUGCAUCUCUACCGAAACAAGAAUCCUCAACAGCUACAUCCAAGAGCUAUACUUUCAGAGAAGGUGAUAGGGUGCGUUAUGUGGGUCCAGCUCAGCUAUCCUCAUUGUCACAAAGGGGACCAAGUUAUGGUUAUCGAGGCAGAGUGAUGCUUGCUUUUGAAGAUAAUGGAUCCUCAAAAAUUGGAGUCUGAUUUGACAAGCAGAUCCCUGAUGGUAAUGAUCUUGGUGGUUUGUGCGAGGAAGAUCAUGGCUUCUUCUGCUCUGCUGAAUCACUUCGCCCAGACUUUUCUGCUGGUGAAGAAGUUGAGAGGCUAGCUAUGACCGAGCUAAUAGAGGUCAUUUCAGAAGAGAACAAAUCUGGACCUCUGAUUGUGUUACUUAAGGAUGUAGAGAAAUCAUUCAUUGGAGUUACCGAGUCACUUUCAUCUUUGCGGAGCAAAUUUGAAUCGCUUCCAUCUGGUGUUCUUAUUAUAGGAUCCCACACUCAGAUGGACAGCCGCAAAGAAAAGGUACAUGCAUUAUUACUGAGA